rnacentral:rRNA from 1 species
GGUGAACGCUGGCGGCGUGCUUAAGACAUGCAAGUCGAACGGCAGUCUUCGGACUGUAGUGGCGCACGGGUGAGUAACGCGUAACUGACCUACCCCAAAGUCGCGGAUAACGAUUCGAAAGAGUCGCUAAUACGUGAUGUGCUGUCAGAUUGUGUUCUGCCAGUAAAGAUUGAUUGCUUUGGGAUGGGGUUGCGUUCCAUCAGCUAGUUGGUGGGGUAAAGGCCCACCAAGGCGACGACGGAUAGCCGGCCUGAGAGGGUGGCCGGCCACAGGGGCACUGAGACACGGGUCCCACCCCUACGGGAGGCAGCAGUUAGGAAUCUUCCACAAUGGGCGAAAGCCUGAUGGAGCGACGCCGCGUGAGGGAUGAAGGUCUUCGGAUCGUAAACCUCUGAAUCAGGGACGAAAGACACUUCGGUGGGAUGACGGUACCUGAGUAAUAGCACCGGCUAACUCCGUGCCAGCCGCCGCAGUAACAC